GGACGAACGCUGGCGGCGUGCUUAACACAUGCAAGUCGAACGGUGAAGCGCCUUCCUUUUGGUGGGUGUGGAUGAGUGGCGAACGGGUGAGUAACACGUGAGUAACCUGCCCCCUUCUUCUGGAUAACCGCAUGAAAGUGUGGCUAAUACGGGAUAUUCUGGGUCUGUCGCAUGGCGGGUCUGGGAAAGAUGCGCCUUUGGGUGUUUUUGGUGGGGGAUGGGCUCGCGGCCUAUCAGCUUGUUGGUGGGGUGAUGGCCUACCAAGGCGGUGACGGGUAGCCGGCCUGAGAGGGUGGACGGUCACACUGGGACUGAGACACGGCCCAGACUCCUACGGGAGGCAGCAGUGGGGAAUAUUGCACAAUGGGCGCAAGCCUGAUGCAGCGACGCCGCGUGAGGGAUGGAGGCCUUCGGGUUGUAAACCUCUUUCGCCAGUGAAGCAGGCCUGUCCCUUUUGUGGGUGGGUUGACGGUAGCUGGAUAAGAAGCGCCGGCUAACUAC
rnacentral:rRNA from 1 species